GCCCUGUUAGCUCAGCGGUUAGAGCAUCUGUCUUGUACUCCGAGGGAUCUCGUUCGAAUCGCGGACAGGGCU